rnacentral:rRNA from 1 species
GGGCUCGCACAAGCGGUGGAGCAUGCUGUUUAAUUCGAUGCAACGCGAAGAACCUUACCUACCUUUGACAUCCUCGGAAUCCAGUAGAGAUAUUGGAGUGCCUUCGGGAACCGAGUGACAGGUGCUGCAUGGCUGUCGUCAGCUCGUGUCGUGAGAUGUUGGGUUAAGUCCCGUAACGAGCGCAACCCCUAUCCUUAGUUACCAUCAGUUCGGCUGGGUACUUUAAGGAGACUGCUAGUGUUAAACCGGAGGAAGGUGGGGAUGACGUCAAGUCAUCAUGGUCCUUACAGGUAGGGCUACAAGCGUGCUACAAUGGUUGGUACAAAGGGCAGCGAAAGCGCGAGCUGGAGCAAAUCCUAUCAAAGCCAAUCGUAGUCCGGAUUGGAGUCUGCAACUCGACUCCAUGAAGUUGGAAUCGCUAGUAA